UGAAUAUUGUACGUUAUUUUA
ensembl:piRNA 21ur-1268 ncRNA